rnacentral:sRNA from 1 species
CCAGGAUCAGAAUUCCUGUACUCCAUCCACGCCUCCACUGCAGCCCCUUCGACUCCACCGGGGCCCUGAGGCGGCUGGGGUGGGGCUGUCUGGGCCCCAGUAGGGGAGACCUGGGGUCACCAGCUCCCCCAACCCUUCCUCGCACUCGCUGGUACUAUGCCCUGCCACCACAGGUGAGGGGUACAGAGGGAGGAGCAGGGCCUGGGGUGAAGGCUGAGGGCAAUGGGGGGUGGUGUGGAACUGUCUGACUUCCCCUUCCUUGCUCCUCCAGGCCCCUGUGUCCGUCUGGGAUGAGGAGGAGGAUGGUGCCGUGUUUACCGUCACAAGCCGCCAAUAUCGACCUCUUGAUCCCUUGGUCCCUAUGCCUCCCCCACGUUCCUCCCGACGGCUCCGAGCUGGCACUCUGGAGGCCCUGGUCAGACACCUACUGGAUACCCGGACAUCAGGGACUGAUGUGACCUUCAUGUCAGCCUUCCUGGCUACCCACCGGGCCUUCACCUCCACGCCUGCCUUGCUAGGGCUUAUGGCUGACAGGCUGGAAGCCCUUGAAUCUCAUCCUACCGACGAACUAGAGAGGACAACAGAGGUAGCCAUCUCUGUACUGUCAACCUGGCUGGCCUCUCACCCUGAGGAUUUUGGCUCUGAGGCCAAGGGUCAGCUUGACCGGCUUGAGAGCUUCUUACUUCAGACAGGGUAUGCAGCAGGGAAGGGUGUUGGGGGGGGCAGCGCUGACCUCAUCCGCAAUCUCCGGUCC